rnacentral:tRNA from 1 species
UGGUGGUUCAGUGGUAGAAUUUUUGCCUUAUAUGCAGGACACCUGGGUUCGAUUCCUGGCCA